AUCUCCUCGUGGAGAUCUCUCUUUGGUGAAGCUUUUUCCUGCAAACCUGGAAUCUUCUGAUAUGGAUUUGAAAUUUCCCCUGAACACUUCAUCAAAACAAACAAAAAUUAGGGAUGUCAUAGGCCAGGGAACCACAUCAGCAGAGGAUCACAAGAAAUCUAAUCAAUAAGCAAUGAAGAAGAUGGCUCACCGCUUGCUUUGAUUCUCUGCUGGGAUCACUCUGCAUUCCUUUCUGUGGCUGUAGACUUUUUUUGUAUGGCUUCCCCUUGUAUUUUAAGGAAACGUGACAUGGUACAGCUAUCAAAACAGAACUUUAGACGGAAUGUUCAGCAAUAUAGCACUUUAAUUGCUGUGGAAGCAUUGAGCGUGGGGCACCUAACAGCCCAUUGCAGUGGUCUAGAUGGCUCCUCUCACCUUUAGGUUAAUGGCUUGUGUGUUUAGCUGCUCUGAAAUGAGUUUACUGCCAGAUGCUGAGUCCAGUUUGGUGAAGCAGCUACAGGAAAGAUGGAUUGUUGAGAUGUUCCACAUGUUUGUUUUUUUUUCUUCUCCCAAGAUAGGAAAAGAAAAGCAGAAUGUAUGGACCAUCUCCUAUAGCAUUCCCAGGCUACUUCUGCUAAUAACUUUAGCAAGAGUGAAAUAAUUAGUCAGCAACAUAACUUUGUUCCAGAUUGACUACCCUGGCAGGAAGGAGAUGGGAGUAGCCAUUUACUCUGCUCUGACAUGUAAAGUUCAUUUUCUUGAAGAUGAGUUGCUUUAGCUGUUCCUUUAUUGCGUGACAGCAAACAGUGUUGAACCUUCUGUGUCCCAUCAUCUUCUCCAGUUGUAUCCCCUCCCAUUUUGGCCUACCCCAAAGCCUGUACAGGUCUGUAGCUUCUAGAAGGGGCCUCAGUGUUAGCACAGACCUCAUGUUGUUGUUUCAUCCAGGCUUUAGGUUUGCAGACCUGACUGCUCCUUGACCUGGUCACUAUCUUGGCAGCAUGGCUGGCUCUCCCUUGCCAGAUGAGGGU
ensembl:lncRNA